AUGCAUGUUCAGCGAUGGAUCCAAGAUUCAAAAGUCUGCCCUUCCUGACUGAAAAUGAAAGACAGGAAGUUUAUGAUGGACUGAUGGCUGCAAGACUGAGCAUGCAGCCAUCAGAGUCACUUUGAAGUGUGGAUGAAGAGGGGACAGCAAAUGCUUGUGCUGAUGAUGAGGGGAUGGCAUCUAAAGAAGACGAAGAUGAAGGAGAGCAAUUCAUGGAAGGAGAGAGCAGUCAAGGUCAGUGUCAUCCACCCAGGAAUCCAAGGCCGUCUUGUCCACUGGCUGCCCUUCUUGGUGAACGAUACGGUGGUGGUGCAGCAUGACCCAAGACAAAUACCCAAGAGGACGAGGCCAAG